rnacentral:lncRNA from 1 species
AAAAAACCUCUCUCUUAAUUCCCCAAAUAGCAUCUCUUUGGAGAAACCAGCUUUCUGUGGUUAAAAUCACUAUCUCCUCUGCAAAAGCACUGAAGAGAAAUCACCAUUACAGAAGAUGUCAUAUUCUCUUUCAGUUAAGGAUUAUUUUUAUUCAGAUAUGACCCAUCCACGCCUCACCUGUAUCCUAGAAAUUUAAGCUAAAGCUCCAUGAAGG